rnacentral:rRNA from 1 species
GGCCCGCACAAGCGGUGGAGUAUGUGGUUUAAUUCGAUGCAACGCGAAGAACCUUACCAGGGUUUGACAUCCUGCGAAUCUCUUGGAAACGAGAGAGUGCCUUCGGGAACGCAGUGACAGGUGGUGCAUGGCUGUCGUCAGCUCGUGUCGUGAGAUGUUGGGUUAAGUCCCGCAACGAGCGCAACCCACGUCUUUAGUUGCCAGCAUUUAGUUGGGCACUCUAGAGAGACUGCCGGUGAUAAACCGGAGAAGGUGUGGAUGACGUCAAGUCAUCAUGCCCCUUACAUCUGGGCUACACACGUGCUACAAUGGUGCUGACAGAGGGCAGCUAGCUCGCGAGAGUAAGCUAAUCCUAAAAGCGCCUCAGUUCAGA